UGAGUAACACGUGGGUAACCUGCCUGUAAGACUGGGAUAACUCCGGGAAACCGGAGCUAAUACCGGAUAGUUCCUUGAACCGCAUGGUUCAAGGAUGAAAGACGGUUUCGGCUGUCACUCACAGAUGGACCCGCGGCGCAUUAGCUAGUUGGUGGGGUAAUGGCUCACCAAGGCGACGAUGCGUAGCCGACCUGAGAGGGUGAUCGGCCACACUGGGACUGAGACACGGCCCAGACUCCUACGGGAGGCAGCAGUAGGGAAUCUUCCGCAAUGGACGAAAGUCUGACGGAGCAACGCCGCGUGAGUGAUGAAGGUUUUCGGAUCGUAAAGCUCUGUUGUUAGGGAAGAACAAGUGCGAGAGUAACUGCUCGCACCUUGACGGUACCUAACCAGAAAGCCACGGCUAACUACGUGCCAGCAGCCGCGGUAAUACGUAGGUGGCAAGCGUUGUCCGGAAUUAUUGGGCGUAAAGGGCUCGCAGGCGGUUUCUUAAGUCUGAUGUGAAAGCCCCCGGCUCAACCGGGGAGGGUCAUUGGAAACUGGGAAACUUGAGUGCAGAAGAGGAGAGUGGAAUUCCACGUGUAGCGGUGAAAUGCGUAGAGAUGUGGAGGAACACCAGUGGCGAAGGCGACUCUCUGGUCUGUAACUGACGCUGAGGAGCGAAAGCGUGGGGAGCGAACAGGAUUAGAUACCCUGGUAGUCCACGCCGUAAACGAUGAGUGCUAAGUGUUAGGGGGUUUCCGCCCCUUAGUGCUGCAGCUAACGCAUUAAGCACUCCGCCUGGGGAGUACGGUCGCAAGACUGAAACUCAAAGGAAUUGACGGGGGCCCGCACAAGCGGUGGAGCAUGUGGUUUAAUUCGA
rnacentral:rRNA from 2 species